CACAGUGGUACUUAUUUUCCACAAAUAUUCCAGGAAUCAGAGAAAUCUAAAUACAGGUCAGAUGUAAAACAACAAUCAAAGCUGCUGAAUAUUAGAAGAAUUCCGAUGGCACGUUGGAGAAUCCAACUCAUGUUUUGAAUCCACUACAUCCCCCAGGGAUAUCUAUGGUCAGUACACAGCGUGGUAGGAAAAGUCCAAAACUUUGGAAAGAAAGAAAAAUCCUCCAUCAUUUACUAAUUGGGUGAGUUACUUGCGGUUAGCAGUUGAGCUGAACACAAUUCCCCCAUCUCUGGCAACUACUCCCAAUACACACGAUACCCGGUGGGCCCCGAUGCCAAGGCCAAAGGGGGAUUCUUAACCCAGACUGAGCCAGCCAGAUCUUCUUGUGCGCCCAAGUAUGCAUAUCAGAUUUUCCAGAAAUUGC
rnacentral:lncRNA from 1 species